rnacentral:lncRNA from 1 species
UUUAGUGGCUUCCCCCUAAAUCUGAACUGCUCCCUUUCUUUGAGCUGUUGGUCUCAUGCAUUGUCUUCUCUUUCUAGUUGGAUCAUUCAUGCCGAGGACUGUCCUUUUGACAGAGGCAUGGCUCAUAGAUUAUAAGAUUGUUAUUUUUUACUAAUUUUUCAAACUUGGCAAAUGUGCACACAAAUGUUUUAUAGCUAAGUCGAAUCUUCAAUUUGAAAAUUGUGAUAAAUUGUCCCUGAUAGAUAGGGAAGCAGUAAGUCUCUCUUUAUUUCAUUAAUUGAAAAGUAGAAUAUUCCUAGUCUGCUGUUGACCCAGGGAGGAAUGAGGGAUAAUCUCUACUUGCAACCGUAGCAAAUUUAGCCAUGUUGCUACAUGUAGUUGUAGCAGUAUUCUAUUUUCUUUACUGUUCCAAUUGAGUUCUUCAGGACCAAUAGCCAGAGACUAUUUGUUAGAACUUAGAACAUCAAUUAGCAUAUGAGGUUUUGGUGACAAUUUGUUUUUUCCCUUUACUUUUUUUUUUCUGUCAAAUAAUAAUUAACGAUGUAGUUGCACUUGUGAACUGCUGACUGGAGAUAGACUAGAAAGCCUUUUCAAUUAAAUGUUCUGUCACUUGCUUCUAGUCACCACCUUGAUUUAAGAUUCUCAGUUACAAAUAUAAAGAAUUCAAUGAAAGAAGUAAUAUGAAGACCAAAUUUUAUAAUACACACAAGUAUCG